CAGAGCGUGUGCUUUGCCGAUCUGGAGGUGCACAGGACACAUAUCAUUAGUGCUAAAACACCUGGGGUGCCCACAUCUGACAAAGCUGUAAAUGCAUUUGUGCACGAGGCUUUUUGGCAGAUGCUGCCAAUUUACAGCCCAGUGCUGCAGCCCUACUCCUGAGUGCUCUUAAGUGCUCUGAGUGAUAAUGGACCUGUUUGUGUGCUCAGGGAUCGUGAACUCAGCUCUUUAAGUCUGCAUAUUCCCCAGAACAAUGCCUGGAUGCUUAUUCUUGAUCAAACGAUCCUUACAUUCCACAUAUGUGACCUGAAGAGAAGAUACUGCCUGGUAGAUUUAAGUCUCUGCGGGCCACCCAGCUAUUUCCUAACCCAGCUAUUACCCAUGUAAGCACCCAUGACUUUGAUAUUGAAGUGACUCAGUUCAACUCUGCAUCCCAUUUAAAGGUUUAAGGGAAGCAUAAGAUGUUCCCAGGAAAAAACUGAGAGAUGUGCACAAUCCCCCACCUCCAAUCUUCCUGACCUUCUCCAGAAAUUACCUGUUGUAGCCUCGGCAGCCUUUAACACCUUAAAUCAGCAGUGCCUGAGUCCAGUUCCCUCUUCUGCGCACUGAAAUCCCUGUGCAGAGAGGCCAAGAAAGGAGCACACAUGCUGCAGAUGUUGAGAUCACCUGUGCAGGACCCCAGGUGGCAGAUCAGGCAGCAAAAGAGCACAGCUGGAGAAUUCGCUGUCUUGUAAGACUCUCCUGUCAUUCCUCACAGCUGCAGCUGGCAGCA